rnacentral:rRNA from 2 species
GGUAACAUUUGGAAACAGAUGUUAAUACCGGAUAGAUCCUGUAACCGCAUGGUUCUGGGCUGAAAGAUGGCGUGAGCUAUCCCUGUUGGAUGGACCCGCGGCGUAUUAUCUAGGUGGUGAGGUAAUGGCUCACCGAGGCGAUGAUACGUAUCCGAACUGAGAGGUUGAUGGGCCAGUUUGGGACUGAGACACGGCCCAAACUCCUACGGGAGGCAGCAGUAGGGAAUCUUCCACAAUGGACGCAAGUCUGAUGGAGCAACGCCGCGUGAGUGAAGAAGGCUUUCGGGUCGUAAAACUCUGUUGUUGGAGAAGAAUGGUCGGCAGAGUAACUGUUGUCGGCGUGACGGUAUCCAACCAGAAAG